CCUAGAAGAGUCAGCAAGCAAACUGAACAGGCUCCCCCUAAUCUAUAGUGGCAGCUUCCUGAUGGUGCUAAGGGAUGCCUCUCUAAACCACAGCAGCAACUCUAAAGGCUACACUCCAACCUGGUGGGAUAACUCUUGACUAGAUACUCAACAGUUCAGGACACCGAGGAUCUUCAUAGCUCAUCAGUAUUUUGAUUUUCUAACCAUCACUACUGAGAAUGCAGCUUCAUCCUUCGGUGUAGUUCCUUCUGGACACCCAACUCUGAAAACGGCUUUCUGUAAAAGGUGUAGUCUGAGCAGCUUCGUGAGCAAAGGACCCCUGAGCUUAUGCAAGGGUGGAUGCCUGGGGAGUUUUGUCACAUGACUAACCACGUGCCUACAACUCACGCAGGAGCGACCCAGGGGUUGAGACAGGGUCUCUCUAUAUAUAGCUUCAGCUGCCCAGAAACUCACCACGAAGAUCAGGCUGGCCUCAAAUGCAAAAGACCCGCCCACCUCCGCCUCCCAGUACCAGAUUAAAGGAUACUUCU